UUAGAGGUUAAUUUCAAUGAAGAAAGAUGGUUAUAAGACAGGAAAUGAUCCUUGAGUCAAGAUCUGAGGAGUUAACUAGGCAAGGAGAGGGAACGGUCUCAUGGCAGGAGGGAAUGUGGAACAUUUAUAUUCUAAAGAAAGGAAUUCUUCAAACAAAGGCUGAACAGUGGUUCCAUUGAUUUGGAGCUGAGUCUGCUAUUUAUUUUGUAUGUCUUGUGUCACUGGAUAGUCAAGAGAAGGGGAAGAACAAGGUUAUGGUAUCGGUGGGAGUGAUUAACCCUGAUAACCAAGCAGAAAUAGGUUUGCUGGUAUACAUAAACACCCAGAUUGCUUAGAAAUCGGACACUCAGAUUCCUUAGAAAUGAAGGUGUUAGUUGAAGGUAAAGGGAACACACAAUGGCUGGUAAAGCAAGGACAUCAUAAUGGAGGUAAAAUCCUCAUGAUCAGGGAAAGAAAUGAGAGCUUCAUCUCUAUUUGCAUUUCCUUUAUUAACGUACUAGAGGCCCGAUGCACGAAACUGAUGCAAGGGGCUUGGCCCUCGCAGCUGUGGCGGCUUGCCUUGGCCCUCGAGGCCCCGACUUCCUCCAGAAGGUCUUUUUGGCUGUCCGGUCUAAUUAGCAUAUUAUUAUUGCUUUUAUUACUAUAGAUCAUGUAUACUUUUAUAUGUUUUAACUUUUAUUUUCUUCCUUUACCUUUUACUUCACCAUUGUUUGUAGGGCGUGCUAUUAUUGGUAAAUUUUGGUAUUUAGUCCCUAAGUUACAGAGGAAUGGAUAUCACCUUGAGGUUCUAAGCUUAGAAAUGGAUGGAUGGAUGUGGUAACUGAUGAAACAUUGAUUGACUUCCUCAGAGGGUGACAGAGUAUAAAAUGAACAUAAGUUGAAGAUUUCAUUUUGCUUACGAUGAAGGAACUAGGCCGAUGUCAUGGUUAGUUCAAAGGAGAAGUCAAGGAAGCACAAAUCACAUGGAGUAAAGGAAUGUUACAGCGAAUGCUUGGAUGGGGGCAAAACUUUUUCCACGAGUGGAGUUAGUAAUCAUCUGUUGACUUCCUACUGCACGAGAUGAGGAUUUAGUGGUUUAUUAUAAAGCAUGCAAUUAUAAAGAACAGCCAGGUGGAAAAGAUGCAUAGGACAAG